ensembl:lncRNA
UCCUCUGGGUCUCCCACACAGGGGUCGGGGGCCAAGGCCUUGGGCCAUCUUCUACUGCCUUCCCAGGCCACAGCAGAGAGCUGGAUCGGAAGUGGAGCAGCCGGGACUCGAACCGGCUCCUAUAAGGCACGGCUCCACAAUGCCAGCCACUUUCUGUUAAGCCCCGACUUGGAGUGGCCGUGGGGGCUCGGUGGGUUAGGCUGCUGCGUGGGCGUCCAGCAUUCCGUUACGGGAACGUGGGUUUGAGUCCCAGCUGCUCCGCCUCCCACCCAGCUCCCUGCUAGUGGGCCUGGGAGAAAGGCAGAUGAUGGCCAAGUCCUUGGGCCCCUGACCCCCGUGUGGGAGACCUGGAUGGUGUUCCCGGCCUUGGCCCAGCCCUUUGUGGCCAUUUGGGGAGCCAGCAGAUGCAAGAUCUCCCUCUCUCGUCUCCGUCUCUGUCACUCUGCCUUUCAGAGAAAGAAAGACAUGUUGAAAGCCCUGCGUCGUGGAGGUGGAAGCGUGCAGUCUGUCUGCUGACGUCACUGGGCAGGUGCCCCAGGCCCGUCCAUAGGGGGGCCGGUGUCUGCGUCUCCCUCCUUUCAUAGCGGAAUAGGGCUAUGUCGCACUGGACGGCUCCGUGACCUCUCCAUUGGCAGAAGGAGGCCCUCGGCUUUCUCCUUACCUCACGGCUGCAGCAGCACCCUUAGGGAAUCUUGGUUCGUUGGACACAUGCUGGGGGCCCGGGUCUGAACCCACAGCCCGGGAGGAGGGGCCCCCUGCCCCAGAACAGACCUGGGGGAAGGGAGGAACAGGAAAUGACGAAACAGGCGGCACUGUGGCCAGGGGGAAGUGUUUGGAAGGAAAACCCAGCGAGCCGGGGAAGGGAGUGUUAGGUUUGGGGGGAGCUGGUCCUAAGGGGAAAACCCAGGACGGGGGGCGGGGACCCUGCUUGGGAGAGGCUGCGUGUUCUGAGGGGAGAGGGUCGUAGGCAGUUUCACGAAGUGGCCACAGCGGGGCUGCAGGCGUCCGAGCGGCUCUGGACCCCACCUGCUGCGGCGCCCCCGGAGGCCGCCGUGCACCCGGUCCCUCUCCCUAGUGGUCUCCUUUUUCCUAUAUACAUUGUUAGGCAAGUGCUCUCGAUCUGCUGGGGGAAAUCUGCCUUCUGAAACCGGUAAAAGAGGAACCCUCACUCGGCUACUCGCCGUCUCUGCCCCAAGUCUGCCGCCGGCCGACAGGUGCACCGGCCCCUGCAACACUGACAGGGGCGGAGUUUCCGGAAGAGCCGGGGUCCUGGUGUCUGACCCCACUGGGUCACUGGAGCUCCUCUCAGCGGCCACCGCACAGCCUGGCAGAGGACGCACUUCCCACAGAAGCCUGGAGGGAGUCUCCCUCGCACUGUCCUGGCUGUUGACAGUCCUCCGGAAGCUGCUAAUCUGGGGGCGGCCCCGGGUCAUUCUAGGAGGGCAAUGAUGAUAACAGGUCUCCUACAGCACCAGGGACACAGUAACACAGAAAGCAAAACGUGCAGCUAAAUGCAACAGCCCUCUCUCUCCCUCCAGUCCUUCACAGGAUGUUUGGUGGCUGAAGAAAAGUUACACCACAUCUGACCUGGCUCUAAAUGUAUCUAGAAAAAUUUAUGGAAACUGUCCAGUAAGUGUGUUGCAGAAAGCAAUGGAGACUGCCGUAGCUUGGCAGUUAGGGUGCUCUUCUCCCAUGAUCGAACAGGGAUGCAGGCACUGCAGGCGGCGGCUUUAACCACUACGCCACAGCGCCGGCCCCUGGGCAGUUGAUUUGUAUAUUUGGGCGGAGCUGGGGAGCCCACAUCUGCUUUGGGACUUUCCCACGCUCUGGGACGACCCCCACAAAAUGGAGCAGGGUAACAGGAUGCAAAGGGAGCCAAGGUU